AUUGAACGCUGGCGGCAGGCCUAACACAUGCAAGUCGAACGGUAACAGGAAGAAGCUUGCUUCUUUGCUGACGAGUGGCGGACGGGUGAGUAAUGUCUGGGAAACUCCUGACUGGAGGGGAAUAACUACUGAAAAGGGUGGCUAAUACAGAAUAACUCCUCAAGCCCAAAGGGGGGGACCUUGGGUCGGCUGGCGAUGGGGGUCUCCCGGAUGGGAUUAGCUUGGAGGUGGGGUAACGGCUCACCUAGGCGACGAUCCCUAGCUGGUCUGAGAGGAUGACCGGCCACACUGGAACUGAGACACGGUCCAGACUCCUACGGGAGGCAGCAGUGGGGAAUAUUGCACAAUAGGCGCAAGCCUGAUGCAGCCAUGCCGCGUGUAUGAAGAAGGCCUUCGGGUUGUAAAGUACUUUCAGCGGGGAGGAAGGGAGUAAAGUUAAUACCUUUGCUCAUUGACGUUACCCGCAGAAGAAGCACCGGCUAACUACGUG
rnacentral:rRNA from 1 species